rnacentral:lncRNA from 1 species
CGCGUCGGCCGGUCGGUUUGGUCGGUUGUAGUGGCCUCGCCGCCCGGUCCGCUGUCGCAGCGCUCAUCCGCGCCGGGAGCCCUUGGCUGCGUCGCCCGGCAGCCGCGGGAGCAUUUCCUGAAGACGUAGUCAUGCAGCACGUCAGCAGCUCCCAGAGCAGCCAGCGCCAUGUCCAGUGGCCUGGGGCCUGCCCCGGCGCGGGCGAGGAGCAGCCAGCGUGCUCCCAGCCGUCCCUGCCCCUCACACUGCCAUCCCCCAGCCACCAACUACAGCAGCUGAUGGAUGGGUCAGGGCUCACCCAGAUCGCCCAGGGAGCCCAGGUUCAGCUCCAGCACCCGGGUACGCCCAUCACAGUCCGAGAGCGGAGACCCUCCCAGCCCCACACACAGUCAGGGGGCACCAUCCACCACCUGGGACCCCAGAGCCCUGCAGCCGCGGGUGGGGCCGGCCUGCAGCCCCUGGCCAGCCCAAGCCACAUCACCACGGCUAACUUGCCACCGCAGAUCAGCAGCAUCAUCCAGGGCCAGCUGGUUCAGCAGCAGCAGGUGCUGCAGGGGCCGCCGCUGCCCCGGCCCCUGGGCUUCGAGAGGACGCCCGGCGUGCUGCUCCCCGGGGCUGGGGGCGCAGCGGGGUUUGGGAUGACGUCCCCACCCCCGCCCACCAGCCCUUCCAGGACUGCCGUGCCCCCAGGCCUUUCCAGCCUCCCACUCACGUCUGUGGGGAACACGGGAAUGAAGAAGGUUCCCAAGAAGUUAGAGGAGAUUCCCCCAGCCUCUCCGGAGAUGGCACAGAUGAGGAAGCAGUGCCUGGACUAUCAUCACCAGGAGAUGCAGGCUCUGAAGGAGGUCUUCAAGGAGUAUUUGAUUGAACUGUUUUUCUUGCAACACUUUCAAGGGAACAUGAUGGAUUUCUUAGCUUUCAAGGAGAGACUGUAUGGACCAUUACAAGCAUAUCUUAGGCAGAAUGAUUUGGACAUUGAAGAAGAGGAAGAGGAGCACUUUGAAGUCAUUAAUGAUGAGGUAAAGGUUGUGGCCAGAAAGCACGGGCAGCCUGGGACUCCUGUUGCCAUAGCAACCCAGCUACCGCCGAGGACUUCUGCGGCUUUUCCAGCCCAGCAGCAGCCGCUCCAGGUACUUUCUGAUGGCUCCACAGUGCAGCUCCCCAGACUUUCCUCACUCGGAUUUGAGGACUCGAUGUGCUGAGGCAGGACCCAGAGGGGUCCCAAGAGCCUGUCCUCUUUUGUUCAAAAUACAUCUUGAAACGUCUUUGUGAAGGCUCUUAGUUUUAAUGCAUGGAUGCUGUUAUUUUUCCCUACUGUUACUGAAAUUAAAAAGUGUUUGUCUCUGAUCAU